rnacentral:rRNA from 1 species
UACGUAGGGUGCGAGCGUUGUCCGGAAUUAUUGGGCGUAAAGGGCUCGUAGGCGGUUUGUCGCGUCGGGAGUGAAAACCCAGGGCUUAACCCUGGGCUGGCUUCCGAUACGGGCAGACUAGAGGUAUGCAGGGGAGAACGGAAUUCCUGGUGUAGCGGUGGAAUGCGCAGAUAUCAGGAGGAACACCGGUGGCGAAGGCGGGUCUCUGGGCAGUAACUGACGCUGAGGAGCGAAAGCGUGGGGAGCGAACAGG